rnacentral:lncRNA from 1 species
AAAAUUCAUAACAUUUUUUUAUUUUAUUAACACUUAUAUAAAAUCUAAAUUAAAAAUCUAAAUUAGAAAUCUAAAUACCAAAAAUUGAAUAUUAAAAGUGAAAAAAAGAAAAAAGAAAAAAAUUAGGAAAUUUAGAAAUUAACCCCCCAAAACUAGAAGCCCUAGUUUUGUUCGUCCUCCCUGUCUCUCUCGACUCUCUCUCUCCCCUCUCGACUCCGCCGCCGGCGCCGCUGCCCCGAGCCAGCCCGUCGCCGCCCACCCUUGUCGCGCUGCGUCGCGCCGCUGCCGCCCACCCUCGCUGCGUCUCAUCUCCUCCCCAAAUCUC